UACGAAGGGGGCUAGCGUUGCUCGGAAUCACUGGGCGUAAAGCGCACGUAGGCGGCUUGUUAAGUCAGGGGUGAAAUCCUGGAGCUCAACUCCAGAACUGCCUUUGAUACUGGCAAGCUUGGAGUCCGGGAGAGGUGAGUGGAACUGCGAGUGUAGAGGUGAAAUUCGUAGAUAUUAGCUAGAACACCAGUGGCGAAGGCGGCCAACUGGUCCGGUACUGACGCUGAGGUGCGAAAGCGUGGGGAGCAAACAGG
rnacentral:rRNA from 1 species